UAUCGGAUUGAUACUAAGCCAUGCGAGUCAUUGCAGUAAUGCAAGGCAGACGGCUCAGUAACGCGUAGUCAACCUACCCUAUGGACGGGAAUAACCUCGGGAAACUGAGUAUAAUGCCCGAUAGAACACUAUUCCUGGAAUGGUUUGUGUUCCAAAUGGUUUAUCGCCGUAGGAUGGGACUGCGGCCUAUCAGUUUGUUGGUGAGGUAAUGGCCCACCAAGACUAUUACAGGUACGGGCUCUGAGAGGAGUAGCCCGGAGAUGGGUACUGAGACACGGACCCAGGCCCUAUGGGGCGCAGCAGGCGAGAAAACUUUGCAAUGUGCGAAAGCACGACAAGGUUAAUCCGAGUGGUUUGUGCUAAACGAACCUUUUGACAGUCCUAGAAACACUGUUGAAUAAGGGGUGGGCAAGUUCUGGUGUCAGCCGCCGCGGUAAAACCAGCACCUCAAGUGGUCAGGAUGAUUAUUGGGCCUAAAGCAUCCGUAGCCGGCUCUGUAAGUUUUCGGUUAAAUCUGUACGCUCAACGUACAGGCUGCCGGGAAUACUGCAGAGCUAGGGAGUGGGAGAGGUAGACGGUACUCGGUAGGAAGGGGUAAAAUCCUUUGAUCUAUUGAUGACCACCUGUGGCGAAGGCGGUCUACCAGAACACGUCCGACGGUGAGGGAUGAAAGCUGGGGGAGCAAACCGGAUUAGAUACCCGGGUAGUCCCAGCUGUAAACUAUGCAAACUCAGUGAUGCAUUGGCUUGUGGCCAAUGCAGUGCUGCAGGGAAGCCGUUAAGUUUGCCGCCUGGGAAGUACGUACGCAAGUAUGAAACUUAAAGGAAUUGGCGGGGGAGCACCACAAGGGGUGAAGCCUGCGGUUCAAUUGGAUUC
rnacentral:rRNA from 1 species